ACUGGCUGUGAUGACACACUUGCCCUCACUGAGAGCUUGCUCUAUUAUGAGAACCCUUAGUACUCUACUGAGCCAUGU